rnacentral:rRNA from 1 species
UACGAAGGGGGCUAGCGUUGCUCGGAAUCACUGGGCGUAAAGGGUGCGUAGGCGGGUUCUUAAGUCAGAGGUGAAAUCCUGGAGCUCAACUCCAGAACUGCCUUUGAUACUGAGAAGCUUGAGUCCGGAAGAGGUUGGUGGAACAGCUAGUGUAGAGGUGAAAUUCGUAGAUAUUAGCUAGAACACCAGUGGCGAAGGCGGCCAACUGGUCCGGUACUGACGCUGAGGUGCGAAAGCGUGGGGAGCAAACAGGG